GCUGUUCAUUUAUCUGUUUGGUGUAUUAUCUGUUUGAUCGAAGAUAUGAUGUGAUGAUGUUCUGUGAUGAUAAGUAACCAUUUAAUGGAAUUGGGUCAAGGAAAAGAUUUUUGUAUUUCUUCUGGGGACUUGGAGAACACUUCAACUGUAGCAAAAUAGUCUGGUGCUACACAUCCACAAUCCUUCUGAGCAGUGGUGGGAUGCUGCCGGUUUAGCAACUGGUUCGGUGAUCACUCAUGCACGCGCAUGCACCAUUUUACAAAUACAAACCUUCUGUGUUACCACUUGGGAGUAACACAGCUGAGGCGCAGCAAUCCAUUCUGCUGCACCAAUCAGCUGAGAAGAUAAAGAAAUGUAAGAAGAAGCAAUGAUAAAGAACAUCAGCUAAUAAAUGAAAAGAAGGAAAAUCAAAUAUAUGUGAAACUAAGGGGAACGAUAAAUACACAAUCACAAUCUGAAUAAAGACAACCUCUUCUUCUGGAGGAAAGCUGAUGAAUA